rnacentral:lncRNA from 1 species
UCCUGCCGUUGGCACGAUGGUCGGUCGUCUUGUGAAGCCUAGGUCCCUCGUAAUAUAAAAUAUUAAGAUGCGUUGUUUUUUUAUUCGCGAUUUGAUAUGCAUAAAGUAUGCAUUUAGCAUAGGGACCGAAGCGACACGCGUUGGCGAUUCGGUCACUAUCCGUUAGUCAGGCCUCAACCGUCUGCUGUUAGAGUAAUGGUCGAUCGUUGCGUGAAGCCUAGGUUUCUCGUAAAAAAAAUUAGAGUCAGUGGAUUAGUCCGAUCGGAGGGAAACCACUUAAAACAAAAAUCGCGGAAAGUUCCACCUUAAAAGUUCUACUUUUCCCUAUUCUUUUCCUAUUCCUUUUAAUAUUUUCUUUGCAGGAUAAACUAUGAUGCCAAAUUCCGUCCAAGAGAAGAAGGAAACGAACCUUAGGAGGACUGAGUUAUGAUAACAAUUCCGACCAAGAGGAAGGGGAUGUGGAUUAGAAGAUGGACCAGAAGUGGACUAAGUUAUGAGGAGAGGAAAGUGGAUUAGAAGAUGACCAGAAGAGG